CCACAUCUGCAUUUAAAUCGUCAAACAAAUGCUCCUAUUGCAAAGAAAUAGACUUCAGGGCUGAGAGCGACACAAAGAGCCGUGGCUGGACUGUUGUGAGCGACAAAGCGCACGUCUUUCUGCUACCACACAACCUUCAGUGAAACAUUUCUGUAUUGCUUUUCCAGUGAGUGAAUGCCCACCCCCCUGCUAGUAGCCGAGUGCUCCAUUUCACCUAUAUUUUCCCUACCACUUGCUAAAGCCGUGAUCCAGACUAAGCUGGUUUGCACUGCCUGUGACAGGAUGUUAGCUAUCGAGAGGCUGCGUGCAUUAACUGCCAGAACAGAUGAGUGCUUUAACACUUACAAAUCACGGGGAGAAAAGAAUAGAGCAAGAGGAGAUCAUUCACGUGUCGCUCGUUUAGAUAUGCUGAUACCUUAUCAGCUCGCCACAGCCCAGCCAGAUGUGGAGGUGAGCAGAAUUCAAGCACAAAGCUUUCUGCAAAGGGGAGGCGAACGCCGCUGAGUGCAGCAGGAGCUCUCAGAGGUGCUCAGCUCGAGCACCACACAAAUUCCAGCCGUCAAAACCCUCCAUCAUAUAUGGAAAUUAAAUCUCAAUCCUCUGGUGAAAAAAACAUAGGAGGGUCAGGGCAGGAACAACUUCCUUGAUUCAGUGCAGGCGGAGAGCUCGCCUUGUUACUCACAUUCCUUAAUGGCAAUCCGUUACUGGGAAGUGACAUGAGUUCUGCUUAAUCCCCGUUUUGCUGCAUAUUGCUAUUUGUGCACAUAGGAAUUUCCAUUUGUUUCAGCCCUCCGCAAGGUUAUUCAAGGGACAGUGCAAAAAAAAAAACUCAGAAGAGGGCUGAGAGAUUAUUCUUCCAAGAGCUCCCUUGUAGUAAGGGAAAAUAAUAUCUGUAUCUCGUUUAUGGACUAGAUAAAGGCAGAGGUUUCCCAUACACAUUAACGUUAGUUUAAAUGCAUAUGGUUACUUAACACUUGAGGAAACACCUCCUAUAUACAAACAAAAGUGUGAAAGAUUUAGGACAGCUGUGCAUCUGUUUAUCCAUAACAUAUACACUAUUAUCUGACUGGGGGCAAGCAGACAUUUUAACCUCUCCUUCAGCACCUGAUGUAUCAUCCCCUUCAUGCUGAAGCUCCUCCUGCAACUGCUCACAGACUGCAGAGCUGGAAGGUAUCACCACGCAUCCAGCACAGAGUUGCGCCGCGUCCUGGAGCUCUGGCACAAGCAGUUACGCACCAGAACUGUCAACAUGUCUCCACUUUGAACAGGUAAGAACCGCUAAAGCUGCCCUGAUGUAGCUACUGUAGAAUUAGCUCUCUGGUGUUUUAGGGAAAUAUUGCAGACAUGUUUUUAUGUAAGUAAGUCUGUGCAUGGUGUAGAAAGUCAAAUGCUUGUUCCAGCUCUGCUGUUAGGCUGUAGUUGCAGAGGUGUGGGAUUUUAUCGGACAAAAAUCAUAAGUGAUCUUCAACCUGACUUAAGCUAAGUUUGCCUGUCCACUUGCUAAUGACAGCUUGGUAUUGCAGCAGUUUCCUGCUCUGCUUUUAC
rnacentral:lncRNA from 1 species